GCAUCGAUAGUUCAGUGGCAGAGCGGUGGGACGGUCCUACGUGUCCCGGAUUCGAUCCCCGGUUGAUGCG